AUUGAACGCUGGCGGCAUGCCUUACACAUGCAAGUCGAACGGUAACAGGUUAAGCUGACGAGUGGCGAACGGGUGAGUAAUGUAUCGGAACGUGCCCAGUCGUGGGGGAUAACUGCUCGAAAGAGCAGCUAAUACCGCAUACGACCUGAGGGUGAAAGCGGGGGAUCGCAAGACCUCGCGCGAUUGGAGCGGCCGAUAUCAGAUUAGGUAGUUGGUGGGGUAAAGGCUCACUAAGCCGACGAUCUGUAGCUGGUCUGACAGGACGACCAGCCACACUGGGACUGAGACACGGCACAGACUCCGACGGGAGGCAGCAGUGGGGAAUUUUGGACAAUGGGCGCAAGCCUGAUCCAGCCAUGCCGCGUGCGGGAAGAAGGCCUUCGGGUUGUAAACCGCUUUUGUCAGGGAAGAAAAGGUUCUGGCUAAUACCUGGGACUCAUGACGGUACCUGAAGAAUAAGCACCGGCUAACUACGUGCCAGCCGCCGCGGUAA
rnacentral:rRNA from 1 species